rnacentral:rRNA from 1 species
AACGAACGCUGGCGGCAGGCUUAACACAUGCAAGUCGAACGCCCCGCAAGGGGAGUGGCGCCCGGGUGAGUACCGCGUGGCGAGCUGCCUUUUGGUUCGGAAUAACCCCGGGAAACUGGGGCUAAUACCGGAUGGUUCCUACGGGAUAAAGAUUUAUAGCCAAACGCUGAGUCCGCGCCGGAUUAGCGAGUUGGUGAGGUCAUGGAGUACCAAGGCGACGAUGGUUAGCCGGUCUGAAAGGACGAGCGGCCACACUGGAACUGAGACACGGUCCAGACCCCUACGGGAGGCAGCAGUCGGGAACCUUCCGCAAUGGGCGAAAGCCUGACGGAGCAACGCCGCGUGAGUGAUGAAGGUCUUCGGAUCGUGAAACUCUGUUAUUAGGGAAGAACAAAUGUGUCCGUAACUAUGCCCGUCUUGACGGUACCUAAUCAGAAAGCCACGGCUAACUACGUG